CCUACGGGAGGCAGCAGUAGGGAAUUUUCCACAAUGGGCGAAAGCCUGAUGGAGCAAUACCGCGUGCAGGAUGAAGGCCUUCGGGUCGUAAACUGCUUUUAUGUGCGAAGAAUUUGACGGUAACACAUGAAUAAGGAUCGGCUAACUACGUGCCAGCAGCCGCGGUCAUACGUAGGAUCCAAGCGUUAUCCGGAAUUACUGGGCGUAAAGAGUUGCGUAGGUGGCAUUAUAAGUGGAGCGUGAAAGCGUGCGGCUCAACCGCAUUAUUGCGUUCCAAACUGUGAAGCUUGAGUAUGGGAGAGGUAGAUGGAAUUUCUAGUGUAGGAGUGAAAUCCGUAGAUAUUAGAAGGAACACCGAUGGCGUAGGCAGUCUACUGGCCCAUUACUGACACUAAGGCACGAAAGCGUGGGGAGCAAACGGGUAUUAGAUACCCCGGGUAGUCCACGCUGUAAACUAUGGAUGCUAGCUGUGACACACAUCGACCUGUGUCGUAGCGAAGUUAACGCGUUAAGCGCGUCCGCCGUGGGAGGUACGGUCGGCGAGUAAGUUAAACGUACGUUAAGUUAGUAAGUUAGUUACGGCGUUGAGACGUGCCGACGGACCGACGACGAGGGAGGAGG
rnacentral:rRNA from 1 species